rnacentral:lncRNA from 1 species
CAGGAUAAUUGCUUGAACCUGGGAGGCAGAGGUUGCAGUGGGCCGAGAUCGUGCCACUGCACUCCAGCCUGGACGACAGAGCAAGACUCCAUCUCAAAAAAAAGAAAAAAAAAGAUUUCAUGAAGAGUAACCUGAGAAAACAGGGAAGUGCCCUUGUAGGUGAAAUGACUCAGGCUGAAUGAUGCAGGCACUUGAAAGGUAUGGGGGAAAGUCAUGUUCAUAAGAAGAGCAAAACUGACUAGUGGCCUUGUGAGAAGAGAGAGCAACACCAGCAAUGCACAUGCAAAGAGGAAAGGCCCUGCAAGGAUGCUAAGAACGAGGACGGCCAUCCGCCCACCAAGGAGAGAAGUAUCAGGAGGAACAAACCGGCCAACACCUUGAUCUUGGACUUCCAGCCUCCAGAACUGUCCGCAGCUUGGGCUACCUUCCAGCAUAAAGUCACUAAAGAUGUGCCGGGCAUGAUGAAGGAAGAAAGCGACUACAUGCUGAAGGAGAUGGUGCGGGGACUCGCUAGUACCUAUUGGCAGGACCUGGGGAACUUUGGUGGGUGCUUGAUAAUGGGGACUGGAAUAAAAACUGGCUAAGCAAAAA